AUGCUUUUAUUUGAUAGACCUAGAGUAGUUUCUGUCUGCUUGCUAAGACUUUCACCACAGAGGCAAGAAAAAAGUGUCCUUGAGCUUUUUGUCUGAGUAUAACAGCAAAAAUUGAAUAGCGUAAUACAGAA
rnacentral:snoRNA from 1 species